AGUUGAGACGGGGCCGAGGCGGGAGAGGCGGGGCCGGGCGGGGCGGCGCGGGUUUGUAGUCCGGCGCUUUCCGGCUCCUGGGCCCAAGUCCGUGCGCGCCUUGGUUGCGGAACCUUCUGCGGAAAUCGUCUGUCCUCUUCGCCCCUUCGCUGCGGUCGGUCGGUGCGUGCGCGCUCAAGGGCUCCGGCGAGCCUGGCCCGGUCCUCCCAGAGCCCAGGCUGCUUCUUCACCAGGAGGAAUAAUGGCGUCUGUUGCAGUUGAUCCCCAACUGACUGUCAUGACAAGGGUGGCCAACCUGCCCUUGGUGAGCUCCACAUAUGACCUCGUGUCCUCGGCCUAUGUCAGUACAAAGGAUCAGUAUCCCUACUUGAAGUCUGUCUGUGAGAUGGCAGAGAAGGGUGUGAAGACCAUGACUUCGGUGGCUGUGACAAGUGCUCUGCCCAUCAUCCAGAAACUAGAGCCACAAAUUGCUGCUGCCAACACUUAUGCCUGUAAGGGACUGGACAGGAUCGAGGAGAGACUGCCAAUUCUGAAUCAGCCAACAACCCAGGUUGUUGCCAAUGCUAAAGGUGUUGUGACAGGGGCAAAAGAUGCUGUGACAACUACUGUGACUGGAGCCAAGGAUUCAGUAGCCAGCACCAUCACGGGGGUGAUGGACAAGACUAAAGGAGCAGUGACUGGCAGUGUGGAGAAGACCAAGUCUGUGAUCAAUGGCAGCAUUAACACAGUUUUGGGAAGUCGCAUGGUGCAGCUUAUGAGCAGUGGAGUAGAAAAUGCACUCACAAAAUCAGAGCUGCUGGUGGACCAGUACCUGCCUCUCACUCAGGAAGAACUAGAAAAAGAAACAAAAAAAGUUGAAGGGUUUGAUGUGGUUCAGAAGCCAAGUUAUUAUAUUAGACUGGGCUCCCUGUCUACCAAGCUUCGCUCACGUGCCUACGAGCAGGCUGUCAGCAAGGUUAAAGAUGCUAAGCAAAAAAGCCAAGAGACUAUUUCUCAGCUCCAUUCUACUGUUCACUUGAUUGAAUUUGCCAGGAAGAAUGUGCAUAGUGCCAACCAGAAAAUUCAGGAUGCUCAGGGUAAGCUCUACGUCUCGUGGGUGGAGUGGAAGAGAAGCAUCGGCCAUGAUGAAAGUGAUGAAUCCCAUUGUGUUGAGCACAUCGAGUCACGUACUUUGGCUAUUGCCCGAAACCUGACUCAGCAACUCCAGACGACAUGUCAAAGCCUUCUGUCCAAUGUCCAAGGGUUACCACAGCACAUUCAAGAUCAGACCAGCCACUUGGGGGUGAUGGCAGGUGACAUCUACACAGUGUUCCGCAACGCUGCCUCCUUUAAGGAAGUGUCUGAUGGCCUCCUCACUUCUAGCAAGGGGAAGCUGCAGAAAAUGAAAGAAUCUUUAGAUGACGUGAUGGAUUAUGUUGUUAACAACACUCCUGUCAACUGGCUGGUACCCCUUUUAGUGUAUCACUUGGAUCACUUGGCAUAUGGGAGAAGAAGGAAGAGGAUAGUCAUUCACACAGAUCUGUAAGAAAUUGGGUCUGAUGCCCAGGAAAGCAGGUAUGGAGGGAGGGAAAGGAAGGCUUCUUGCCAGCAUGACCUACCAUGGCUCUCGUGGAACCGGGCCAGAUCUGACCCACCCUGAGGCCUGAAUGCAUGAUGUCUUGAGAGAUGGAUGUCUUUGCUCCAUAAACCAACUGACCCACCCUGAGGCCUGAAUGCAUGAUGUCUUGAGAGAUGGAUGUCUUUGCUCCAUAAACCAACGUAUUCACUGCUUGUACCUCGAGGUACCAUACCUUCAUGCUGUAGGUGUCCUCUAAUACAGGAUACCUUAUAAGAUUUCAUUAUAGUCUCUUGGAAAAGUAAAGAUGCUAAAUAACUCCACUGUUGAGUACCUCAGUUUCCAGGAUAACCCCUAGCAGUCUACUUCAUCUCAAAGAUGGAGGAACUGGCAAGGUAAUAGUCCUGGACUGUUAAGAGUAAGAAUUCUCUCUCCAAGGCUUGAGGUCCACUUAGGCUGAAGACACAUAUUUUGUUAUCUAUUUUUCUUGCUUCCCAUGAUUCUCUUUUGAGAUUCUAAUGCCACCCCUUCACUCCCAUGGUUUCCAAGUUACUGGGAUAGGCCUAGGUCACAUUUUCAGGGCUUUCACUGUCCCUGGGCUGAGCUGCAAGACUGUGGAAGAGUGCCCUGAAGGAAAAGGCUGAAUUGGAAAAUCCUGCCCUUAAUUGGCGAUGAGGCGGUGAAAGACAAAACAAGACAGGUGCUUGAUUUCACUGCCAUAGAUUUGACAUCUGAGACUGAUGAAAUUCCAGAUAUUAUACCUUUGGAAGAGGAGGAUGGAGCAAAUCGAGCUGAUGGCCCUGUCCUCUCA